ensembl:lncRNA
AUUUUAACAGUAUUUAUUUUAAUUUGACAGUGAACACCGAGGGAGCAGCAUCUUUCUAAAACAGCAUGUGAAUGUGACUCAGAUUUGAUGUUUUACCCUCAAAAGGGAUGAUAACAAAGUUUCCUUCUGGAUUUUGUUCUCAUCAAAUGUCCUGUUAAAUGUAGAAAACGUGUCACAUUAUGAGAGUAAAAUGGCUUGUAAACUGCGCUUCAGUUUAAUGGUUCAGAAUCACAUUUAAACUCAGUGUCACAGACCCAUGAGAGUCAUGUAGUUUCCUGUUUCGACAGCAGAGAGACAUUUAAUUAAAGGUUAAUUAAUGGGAACUCAGAGGUGGUGAAUUUACACUUUCAGCUUUAUUAACAUACAGAGAAGAAAAGGAAAGGCACAAAGGCAGAGUGUGACGUUGAGCUGAGUUGAGUUAGUGAAGCUCAAACACAAGCAGCGUGUGAGAUUUCACAGAGUUUCACAGUCUGACGAAUAAUUACAUUAAGCGUGAGAGUGAAACAAUCACGGCUCUCCAGAGAGAAAUUAAGCUCCCACUGCUUCAGUCUGCAGACAUCAGUUUCUGAUAUGAUCCUGGUUCAUCCUCCUCCAGCGGAAUCAUCUGUUCUGAUUCUCUGAUAAAGGUUGUGAACGUUGUGAUCAGUGAUUGUGAUUUACAGAUGAUGAACAUCAUCACAGUCCUUCAGCUUUAUGUACAAGUGAACAAAUCACUUUCAGUAAAUCACACAAACAAUUCAUGAAGAAUUGGCAAGUAACUAUGAAAGCUUAUUUCCACUAUGAAGGAAAAAAAAAAGAUUCAUCGCUCAUGAACAUCCUCAUCUUCACUUCGACUGUCGACUGCUCGAAUGAAGGCAUGAUUUCUCUUGAUUUGAUUCCUCAUGUUGUUAUAUUUACCUUCAUUUUAUCAGGUAAGUCCUGCAUUUUUAAGAGAGAUACAUUAAACGUUACAGGAGACAAGUAGCAUCUCAAAUGAACUGAUAUUUGGCAAAUGACUCCAGAAAUCCUUAAAAAGAGCUUUGAAACUGGGUCCAAAUGGCGAGACUGGAUCCAUUUGGAGCGUCUUUCAAAAACACAUCAGUAGUUUUGCACGAAGUUAAUU